AAGAAAAAGCGCCAUUCCUGGCGCCUAUUUUCACUGGCGGCCACGUAUAACUGCCGGUGAUCACCGGAAUCACCGGCAGCCAUCCAAAAACGCCCCUGUUUUUGAAACGUGGGCGCCGGUGAAUCGACGGUACUAAAACCAAAAACGGAGAGACGUUUCAUUUUCGUCGCGCGCACAAACUCCCUCCUCUCUCUUGUCCCGUGCGCUUCUCCUGGCCCUCUCCCUUCCCCGAUCUCUCUUCCAUCUCGCUGGUCCGACCCUUUGGCUUCCUCGAUUUCUCUCCCUUCCUCUCCCUCCAUCUCUCGAUCUCCCUGAUUUCCCUCCCUCUCCAUUGACGUCUCUCCCAGUUCGCUCUCUUCGAAGCAACCAUUGAUCGAUCUCCCUCCAAUAGCUGACGUGAAUAGAAGAAAUUAGGGCACAUGAAGUGAAAGGGAGCAUGAAUUGAAUUUAAGAGACGGUAAUGACUGGGGAGUUCUCCACGAGGAAGAAGUUACAGAAGCAACUAUAGUAGCCAGCACGCUCACCAUGGGAUGGAAAAACAAAGACACAAGGCCUUUAAAACAACGAAUAUUGAUGGUGAUUAACAGGCUUCCAUUCUUUGCUGUUAGGAAUGGUGAUUAUUCUUGGUCACUAGAGACUAGUUCUGGGGGUCUAGUAAAUGCUCUUCUUGUCUCGGUGAACAGCAUGUUGGUUAUUGUCAUUUGGAUUUUCCCACAUUAAAGCUCAGCGUUGUUGGUGGACGCCCAUUUUCUUGUGGGGGAGAUCAGUUAUUUCGGAAAAGACUUCUUUCUGCAAGGGAGCGAUCUUGUGUCACAUAUGGCUUAUAUGCAAAUGGACAAUUUUGCACAUUUGAGGCUCUUGCAGAUUAAUAGUGGCACCUCCAAGGGAAGAGAGAAAAGAGCGUGCUAUCUGAUCUUGAAAAGCGUGUGUAGAUAAGAUAGCUGCUGCAGAGGAGUCGCUGAAAAAGAAGAAGCAGGAUUGAGAUGAAGCUGAAAAAUACAUAUGAUCAGCUACAUUUCAGCAGGAAGCCAUAUUUACAAUGAAUCCUGAAACCACACAGAUGGAGAUGCUCUUUUGCUCCACUGUGGUUGGGCUUCCUUUCUUGAUUACACCCAUGCUUUUAACGGGAGAGCUGUUCACGGCCUGGAAUUCCUGCUCUCAGUUUGAUUUAUGCCGCAUUGAAGUGGUACCAGGAAGUAGAUUGCCCUUGGUAAGAGUUCCAUCAUUAGAGGUAGCUGGAAGGAAUGGGAUUACAGUUUCAGAAAAUUCUUCUUGCAGCUCUUGCUAGUAGUUUGGAAUAUAAGGACUCCCAUUCAAGGUUAUAAAUAUCAGGAUCAGUCCACAUCAGCCAGCCCCAAAAAUGAUACGCCAUAUGAAUCAGACAGUAUUGGUGCCCAAGGUAUGAACCAGACCCAAAGUGACAAAAUCAGUGAACCCUCAACAGGUACAUAAUGGUUUCUAAUACUAAGAAACUUUGUACCAAGUGAUAUU